rnacentral:tRNA from 1 species
UGCGGAGCGGGGCAGCCCGGAGUGCCCACCGGCCCCAUGAGCCGGAGGACGCCGGUUCGAAUCCGGCCUCCGCAA